CUUCUGGACUUCUGUUUGCAAAAGUGCCCAUGAAAUAAACUUCUGCAGCACUGUAAAUACACUUUCUUAUUACUUGUUCCAGCCACAUUGCAGCUUUCAGUCUUCAGCAAUGAAAACAUGGAAACUUCACCAGAUGAAGCUUGAUGGAUGGAGGAAGAAAGGAAAGCACUGGCAGAAAAAUAGUGUGUCAGAAGCUGGCUCUGACUGCAUCUCUGAGAUCAGUGAGGAGCAGGAGGAGUGCUCCCAUUUUCCAGCUCUUACAACAGACUGCUGGCCUUGUCACCCAUUGUCCAGGUUUGCUGGAAUUCUGAGGUGGUCUUCAACACUUUUCUAUAACCUCAUGACUAACUGUACCUGAUUUACUUUAUUACAAGAUCAUAAUCUGGUCCAUAUUUAAAGGAAUGCUGCCUUUUCCUUCAAUGAAAUUCUGAGGAAGUCAACCUGUAGCUGUGAUAUAUUUCCUGUAAUUGGAAGACAUUUUGCAUCAAAAUACCUCAGGAUAGUAAUGCUCUGUAUGUUCAAAUCAUCCUUUUCUUUAACUGUUCCAAUUUGACUAUAAAAGACUCGCAUUCGGCAUUUCUGUCUCACAGAGUCCCACACUAGCGUGGUAACAACUGCAAAAUAAUGCUGAUCGUCCUCCUGUGGUCACAGUGCUCUGCCAAAGCUAUGGUUUUGGAAUGACCAUAUGCAUCCCAAAUCAGCGAGUUUGCAAAAGACAUCCUAAUAACUGGUAUGGGGUUUCAGAACGUGCUUAGCUGCCUUGGCGUGUUUGCAAAAAGAACAUGAGCACUGCAAAAUAAAAUCCUUCUAACAUGCUCUGAUGUGCUUCAUUCAGAAAGUUCACUACUCUUCUCUGUCCUCCUGUGCCCACACAGACAUUCAUCUCAUGCAUUACUCACACUCCUCCCCUCAUGACAUUUCCUCUGCCUUCCCUGUGAAGACAUUUAUCCACGCUCAGUGCUGUUUACUACAUUAGAAAUGUCCCACGCAUUUACUAUUAGACUGAAUGCUCUUUGCAGGUAAGAUCAACCCAUGAUCCACCUACAAUUCAGCAAGCAUGAGUGCCUCCUACCAUCCCGAGGACAGAAAGAUAAUACUUUGUGUGCUGAGCACCAUCUGAACAUAUCCACACCAAUAUUCAUCCAUAAGCUCUGACAAGUGAGGUUUUUUUUUAGAAGAGGCUUUCAUUCCCUUGCAUUCUAUUUCAUGCUUUCAUACUAUGUGUAGAUUUUCCUUUACAGUAAUUUUGGUGGAAUUUUAAAAGAAGAUCCAGAAUCUUCUACAGAAAGUCCUCUGUGAAAUUACUCAAUCCAGAAAGGGUUGUCUGUUCCACUUAUUUUAUUUCAAGCAAGAAAGAUGUCCUUAGAAUACUAUAUAUAAUUUAGUCUGAGCAAAAUAUAGCAUGUACUAUGAUGUGAGCAUUGAUUUGUUUUUCUUUGCCCAUCUAUUAUCUCAAUGAACAUAUUUGGAGAAGGUACAACAGUAAAUCAGUUGUAGAAAUUAUCCUUGAAUUAAGAAGAGAGAAGAGAAUUCACAGCACUGUCACCUGGGCACAUAUAAGAAAUGGAGUUAUUAUGUUCACCUUCUCUACUAAAACAAUGCAUUAGAAAGGUUUGGCUUCUUGUAAGUAAUUUCAUAAAUACAUUAUUAUCUAGCAACAGGCAAAACCCCCCCCUGUGACUAUUGGCAUUAUCUACGCUUCAUUUGGAUUCUGGAGAGCAACGUGAAUGGAGAAUGGAUAAGCUGACAGACAUAAUACAUCAAAGGAAUUAAAAGCAGCACCUGGUAGUAAAUGUGUAUUUUACAGCUACUUCCUGAGCUGCUCCAGACAGUGUUACUGCUUGAAUUCACAGUGUAAGGAAAAAUCUAGAUUUUGCAACCUACCCAGUGAUGGGAAUGUGAUUGCUUUUAUAGUCCAUAUCUGACACCUAUUACCUGUCAGCUACAUCACUCUGGUUUUGUGCACUCCAUUCAGAACACCUACCAAGAUAACCUACAAAUAACUUCACUUUUUGAGGAGGAAUAAAAAGAAUUCCACUUAGCCGUAGCAUGGCUUGUCACUAAAGCCAUUAAGACAUUGUGGUUUUACACUGUAUCUCUGCUGGAUACAAUUUGAAACACCACGUUUUCCAGCUUUGUACCUUAUCUCAUAUAUAUGUUCACAGGCACACAGUUAAACUCAGGCUUAAUGUAA